rnacentral:rRNA from 1 species
ACUUACCGCUGGUGUCCCAGUUGUUCUGCCAAGGGCAUUGCUGGGUAGCUAUGUAGGGAAGGGAUAAACGCUGAAAGCAUCUAAGUGUGAAGCCCACCUCAAGAUGAGAUUUCCCAUUUCUUUAAGAAAGUAAGAUCCCUGAGAGAUGAUCAGGUAGAUAGGUCAGGAGUGGAAGUACAGUGAUGUAUGGAGCGGACUGAUACUAAUCGAUCGAGGACUUAACCAAU